CACGUAGGGUGCGAGCGUUGUCCGGAAUUAUUGGGCGUAAAGAGCUCGUAGGCGGUGUGUCGCGUCGGCCGUGAAAACCUGCAGCUUAACUGUGGGCUUGCGGUCGAUACGGGCAUCACUGGAGUUCGGCAGGGGAGACUGGAAUUCCUGGUGUAGCGGUGAAAUGCGCAGAUAUCAGGAGGAACACCGAUGGCGAAGGCAGGUCUCUGGGCCACUACUGACGCUGAGAACGCGAAAGCGUGGGUAGCAAACAGG
rnacentral:rRNA from 1 species